UUGGAGGGCAAGUCUGGUGCCAGCAGCCGCGGUAAUUCCAGCUCCAAUAGCGUAUAUUAAAGUUGUUGCAGUUAAAAAGCUCGUAGUUGAACUUCGGAAUUUGCCCAUUGGUCAGGCUUAACUGUCUGCACUGGUGUGACGAGUUCCUACCUUCUGAGGAAUCUCCAUGUCAUUCAGUUGGUGUGGGGGGGAAUCAGGACUGUUACUUUGAAAAAAUUAGAGUGUUUAAAGCAGGCAUCCGUCUGAAUACAUUAGCAUGGAAUAAUAAAAUAGGACGGUUUGGUUCUAUUUUGUUGGUUUCCAGGAUCACCGUAAUGAUUAAUAGGGAUAGUUGGGGGCAUUAGUAUUCAAUUGUCGGAGGUGAAAUUCUUGGAUUUAUUGAAGACUAACUACUGCGAAAGCAUUUGCCAAGGAUGUUUUCAUUAAUCAAGAACGAAAGUUAGGGGAUCGAAGACGAUCAGAUACCGUCGUAGUCUUAACCAUAAACUAUGCCGACUAGGGAUCGGACGAAGUUAAUUUUUUAAUGACUCGUUCGGCACCUUACGGGAAACCAAAGUGUUUGGGUUC
rnacentral:rRNA from 1 species